rnacentral:rRNA from 1 species
UAGGGAAUCUUCCGCAAUGGACGAAAGUCUGACGGAGCAACGCCGCGUGAGUGAAGAAGGAUUUCGGUUCGUAAAACUCUGUUGUUAGGGAAGAAAAAAUGUAUAGUAACUAUAUACAAAAGAGACGGUACCUAACCAGAAAGCCACGGCUAACUACGUGCCAGCAGCCGCGGUAAUACGUAGGUGGCAAGCGUUGUCCGGAAUUAUUGGGCGUAAAGCGCGCGCAGGUGGUUUAGAAAGUCUGAUGUGAAAGCCCACGGCUCAACCGUGGAGGGUCAUUGGAAACUAAUAAACUUGGGUGCAGGAGAGAAAAGUGGCAUUCCUAGUGUAGCGGUGAAAUGCGGAGAAAAUAGGAGGAACACCGGUGGCGAAAGCGGCUUUUUGGCCUGCAACUGACACUGAGGCGCGAAAGCGUGGGGAGCAAACAGG